AGCCUUCUGUAUCCGUGCUGAGAUUUCGUCACACACCAGACCACAAGGGCUGAUGAGACCAAAUAGAACU
rnacentral:pre_miRNA from 1 species